rnacentral:rRNA from 1 species
AAUGAACGUUGGCGGCAUGGAUUAGGCAUGCAAGUCGAGCGAGAAGUGUAGCAAUACACGGAAAGCGGCGGAAGGGAGAGUAAUACGUGGGAAUCUGCCCUUAGACCUGGGAUGGCAGCGGGAAACUGCUGGUAAUACCAGAUAAUGUCUAUGGACUAAAGGUGUGAUUCCGUCUAGGGAUGAGCCCACGUCCUGUUAGCUAGUUGGUAGGGUAAUGGCCUACCAAGGCGAUGAUGGGUAGCGGGUGUGAGAGCAUGACCCGCCUCACUGGGACUGAGACACUGCCCAGACACCUACGGGUGGCUGCAGCCGAGAAUCUUCGGCAAUGGGCGCAAGCCUGACCGAGCGAUGCCGCGUGCGGGAUGAAGGCCUUCGGGUUGUAAACCGCUGUCGAGGGGGAGCAACUUCCAUAGAGUUAUCUUUAUGGAUUGAGUGAUCCCUGGAGGAAGGACGGGCUAAGUUCGUGCCAGCCGCCGCCGUAAUAC